GUCUUUGAACUGAGGAAAAAAAAAAAAAAAAAUAAAAAAAUCCGAGGCGUGAUUAUUGCUAGUUGAAAACUUUUCCCAAUACCCCGCCAUGAUGACUUGAAAUACAGUCAGCAUUGGCAAUUUUUGAUAGUCUCUGAGGAGA